GCAUUGUACAGGUAUGGGUAAAGGACUGGAUUUACUGCACAUCCUGUCACUAGUUAAAAUGAUUGGCUGCCAUUAGUGACGCAGAAAAGGAUAUAGAAGGAUGGUAUAAAUUGUGGGGAAUAACCACUUUCAUCUGGAGAGCAGCAGAAGUGUGACGAAAAUCGGACAAACCCAGAAUCUCCAGUCUAUAACUGAAUCUAUACUUGGGCCGCAGCAUGACACAAGAAGUGGAUAAAAGGUGUUUGCACUAUCAGGUACUUGGAUUGAUGGUGGUGAUAGCCGUCUUCUCUGGACUUGGAGACACUAAGGAGAAGUCGGAGGAUGCGCUCCUAUACAACACAACACACAGUAAUGGUAAGUACUUCAAAAUUAUACAUAAUUAUUUUGAAAGACUGCAGUCUUUAAGGUUUUUUUUUUUUAAGUCUCUCACCAGGCUGAAUUUAUUUGAUAAAAAAGAUACAGUACAUCAGCAAUAUUGUGAAAUAUUUCGAUUUAAAAGAACUGUUUUCGAUUUUAAUAUAAUUUAUUAUCUCUCUCCCUCUACUCUAAUACUCUAAUUAGCAUUUGUUGACAUGUAGUUGCCAAGUUACUUUUCGUUAGUAUAAUAUCUAAAGUGGACUACUGUAAUAACUCUACCUGAAGUAACCCUUUGUUUUAAAUGAAAUGAGCAAUCUUGUAAUUUCAAAUAUGCAUUGUGCUAAGAAUGCCGGUUCUUUGGCAUGUGGACACAAGUCUGAAUACCUAUCCAUUAAAAUCACAAUCCUUCAUGCUUAACUGUCGGAAUCUGAGGGUGCAAAAAAAUCUAAAUACUGAGAAAAUUGCCUUGAAUAAAGUUCUUUGCAAUGCAUAUUACUAAUCAAAAAUUAAGUUUUGAUAUAUUUAUGGUAGGAAAUGUACAAAAUAUCUUCAUGGAACAUGAUCUUUACUUAAUAUCCUAAUGAUUUUUGGCAUAAAAGAAAAAUCGAUAAUUUUGACCCAUACAAUGUUUUUUUGGCUAUUGCUAAAAAUGUACCAAAGCGACGUAAGACUGGUUUUGUGCUCCAGGGUCACAUUUAUGCUCUUAAAUAAAGUGCUUUUAGGCCUAAGACAGGUGUAAAAAAAAAAAAGGCAUAAGUCAGGAUGGAGGACUAAACAUCGAGACUGACUCGACAAGGAAGACAGGCCAGACUGUGGAGUAGAGACACAACACCCUCUAGAGGACAGAGCGAGAAUUGCAAAGAAACUGUGACAUCACGAUUUCAUCACAUUGGGAAAAUGCAGGUUGUUCAACAGAAUCAUUUUAUAUUUAUUACAAGUUUCUGCUACUUAGUUCUUGUAAUUAUACUACAACUUGGGCACUGUAAUGUAAAAAUAAUUUACUACAAGCAUUGAAAAACUGCAUGUAGAACAAUCAAUCAGAUGGAAUUUUAUCCAUUAGCAAAUGUCAUAUGCUGCCUCUGUUAUGAAUGUAUUAUGUAAGUGCACAUAGGUAUUUAUUGCACAGCUAUAAACAUGAUAAUACUAAAUAUAAAACCUAAACUGUGCUAAUGUAUUUGUAUCAGAUAUUUAUUUAUUGACAAAUUUGUAUAAAAUUUGCACCUAAAAUAAAAAGAGAAAAAAAACGUGAAAAUGUGUUUUGUUUAAAAUUACUGUCACAUUGUUGAC
ensembl:lncRNA